GACGAACCGUCCAAACGUUAUUCGGAAUCACUGGGCUUAAAGGGUGCGUAGGCGGCCCGGAAAGUUGGGUGUGAAAUCCCUCGGCUCAACCGAGGAAUUGCGUCCAAAACUGCCGAGCUCGAGGAAGACAGAGGUGAGCGGAACUUAGGGUGGAGCGGUGAAAUGCGUUGAUAUCCUAAGGAACACCAGUAGCGAAAGCGGCUCACUGGGUCUUUUCUGACGCUGAUGCACGAAAGCUAGGGGAGCGAAGAGG
rnacentral:rRNA from 1 species